GGCAUAGCAAUAUGUCAGCGGCAGACGGGUGAGUAACGCGUGGGAACGUACCUUUUGGUUCGGAACAACACAGGGAAACUUGUGCUAAUACCGGAUAAGCCCUUACGGGGAAAGAUUUAUCGCCGAAAGAUCGGCCCGCGUCUGAUUAGCUAGUUGGUGAGGUAAUGGCUCACCAAGGCGACGAUCAGUAGCUGGUCUGAGAGGAUGAUCAGCCACAUUGGGACUGAGACACGGCCCAAACUCCUACGGGAGGCAGCAGUGGGGAAUAUUGGACAAUGGGCGCAAGCCUGAUCCAGCCAUGCCGCGUGAGUGAUGAAGGCCCUAGGGUUGUAAAGCUCUUUUGUGCGGGAAGAUAAUGACGGUACCGCAAGAAUAAGCCCCGGCUAACUUCGUGCCAGCAGCCGCGGUAAUACGAAGGGGGCUAGCGUUGCUCGGAAUCACUGGGCGUAAAGGGUGCGUAGGCGGGUCUUUAAGUCAGGGGUGAAAUCCUGGAGCUCAACUCCAGAACUGCCUUUGAUACUGAAGAUCUUGAGUUCGGGAGAGGUGAGUGGAACUGCGAGUGUAGAGGUGAAAUUCGUAGAUAUUCGCAAGAACACCAGUGGCGAAGGCGGCUCACUGGCCCGAUACUGACGCUGAGC
rnacentral:rRNA from 1 species